rfam:Danio rerio chromosome 4, GRCz11 reference primary assembly.
GCAUUGGUGGCUCACUGGUAGAAUUCUCGCCUGCCACGCGAGAGACCUGAGUACGUUUCCUGGCCAAUGCA